rnacentral:rRNA from 1 species
CGAGGAAUAUUGCACACUGGACGCAAGUCUGAUGCAGUAACGCCGCGUGGGGGAAGAAGACCUUCGGGUUGUAAACCUCUUUUAUAUAGGACGAGAGAGGACGGUACUAUAGGAAUAAGUCUCGGCUAACUACGUGCCAGCAGCCGCGGUAAGACGUAGGAGGCGAGCGUUAUCCGGAUUUACUGGGCGUAAAGCGCAUGUAGGCGGUUCGCUAAGUCCGCUGUUAAAGCCCCCGGCUCAACUGGGGGAGGUCAGUGGAGACUAUCGGACUUGAGGGCAACAGAGGCACGUGGAACUCCCGGUGUAGCGGUGGAAUGCGUAGAGAUCGGGAAGAACACCAGUGGCGAAGGCGACGUGCUGGGUUGCACCUGACGCUGAGAUGCGAAAGUGUGGGGAGCAAAC